rnacentral:rRNA from 1 species
CCCCUAGAUGUUCUGGGCCGCACGCGCGCUACACUGAACAGUUCAACAAGUCUUAACCUUGGCCGAUAGGUCUGGGUAAUCUUUGAACGCUGUUCGUGAUUGGGAUAGACCUUUGCAAUUAUGGGUCUUCAACGAGGAAUUCCUAGUAAACGCAAGUCAUCAGCUUGCAUUGAUUACGUCCCUGCCCUUUGUACACACCGCCCGUCGCACCUACCGAUUGAAUGGUCCGGUGAAAUCUCGGGACGGCGGCUUGGUCGCUUGCGUCCCACUGCUGAAACUUGAUUAAACCAUAUCAUUUAGAGGAAGGUGAAGUCGUAACA